GGCCGGAGGCGGCCUCACGGUUCCGAAGCCUGUCCCCCGUCUGUGGGCUGUUCCCAGUGGAGGUUCUAAGACGGCAGACUGGUCACGUCUGGGGGACUCGCUGAGCGGAAAAGCCAGCGCCCCGGCACGGAACAUGCACAGCUUCCCGCCUGCCUUGUCCGCCGCAUGGACUGAGGCGUGUGUGCACGUGCGCCAGAGGACUGGCCCCCAGAGCCAGGGGACUCCCUCCCCUGUGCCUCCGCUCUCCAGGCCCCGCUCCUGAGCCUUCCCCUUCUCUCCUUCAGGCUGAGCCACCCUGCCCUGAGCAGUGGAGCACCACUCUGAAGUUACUCAGCCCUUCGUCCAGAGAGAUCCCAGCUUAGGGAGCAGGGCCCAGAGCUUCGAGACCUGGGAAGGCCUGUCCUUCCCUGCUGGCUGUCCCCCAUCGGCCCCCCCCGUCCAUGCCCCCCAAGUGCUCAAGAACACGCCCACAACUAGCUCCAGACCCCUCGGGCCCUUCCUCUGCCCAUGCUGAGCCCCACUUCCCUGAGUCUCCUUCUUCGCUAUCUGGCUCUCACUGCGCUGUCAGCCAUGGGCAUUCGGGGUCCCCACCCCUUCUUGGGGGUGCAGCCCCGUCUCGCACUGCAUGGAUCCUCCCCUGGGGCAGGGGGCAGUGCUGGGCCUGCAGGACUUGCCUGGAGGGGCUCUGACAGGAGCAAGAUAGGUUGUCUGGAAUUGUCAAGGAAGAUGACCCCACCCAGCACCUUCUGGAAAGUUUUCAGACACUGGGGCUCCCUUGGCCUGUGCGUCUGGCUGAGCACUGACUUUGUCCUGAGAGCUUCGCCUGAUUCUCCACCAGCCGCGGCUUCUGUGCCACGCCCACGUCCUUGCCUGUGAGCAAAUUAAAGGCGCCGGAGAC